rnacentral:rRNA from 1 species
CUGGAUAGCCGACAGAAGCCUGAUCUAGCCGUGCCGCGAUGCAAAGACGAAUGACUUAGGGGCGUAAAGCUCUUUCGCCAGGGAUGAUAAUGACGGUACCUGGUAAAGAAACCCCGGCUAACUCCGUGCCAGCAGCCGCGGUAAUACGGAGGGGGUUAGCGUUGUUCGGAAUUACUGGGCGUAAAGCGCGCGUAGGCGGAUUGGAAAGUUGGGGGUGAAAUCCCGGGGCUCAACCCCGGAACUGCCUCCAAAACUAUUGGUCUUGAGUUCGAGAGAGGUGAGUGGAAUUCCGAGUGUAGAGGUGAAAUUCGUAGAUAUUCGGAGGAACACCAGUGGCGAAGGCGGCUCACUGGCUCGAUACUGACGCUGAGGUGCGAAAGUGUGGGGAGCAAACAGGAUUAGAUACCCUGGUAGUCCACACCGUAAACGAUGAAUGCCAGUCGUCGGGUAGCAUGCUGUUCGGUGACACACCUAACGGAUUAAGCAUUCCGCCUGGGGAGUACGGUCGCAAGAUUAAAACUCAAAUGAAUUGACGGAGGAGUC